AUUUAUUUAGUUUAAUAAAAACUUUACAUUUUCAUUGUAAAAAUAAAAAAAAAAUUUAAUAAAUA
rnacentral:tRNA from 1 species